rnacentral:rRNA from 1 species
GCNCGUUACGAUUGCCCUUGAGUUUGAUCAUGGCUCAGGACGAACGCUGGCGGCGUGCCUAACACAUGCAAGUCGAACGGCCCGCCCCAUCGGAUUCCUUCGGGGAGAAGAUGGGUUACCGGGCAGUGGCGGACGGGUGAGUAACGCGUGGAGAACCUGUCUCUCAGUUGGGGAUAACCUGGCGAAAGUCGGGCUAAUCCCGAAUACGCUCUUGAGGUGGCAUCACUUUGGGAGGAAAGGUGCUUUCGGGCAUCGCUGAGAGGUGGCUCCGCGUCGGAUUAGCUAGCUGGUGGGGUAACGGCUCACCAGGGCGACGAUCCGUAGCUGGUCUGAGAGGAUGAUCAGCCACACUGGGACUGAGACACGGCCCAGACUCCUACGGGAGGCAGCAGUGGGGAAUCUUCCGCAAUGGGCGAAAGCCUGACGGAGCAACGCCGCGUGAACGAAGAAGGCCUUCGGGUCGUAAAGUUCUGUCCUCAGGGAAGAACCCUCAUGGGAGGAAAUGCCCAUGAGCUGACGGUACCUGGGAAGGAAGCCCUGGCUAACUACGUGCCAGCAGCCGCGGUAAUACGUAGAGGGCAAGCGUUGUCCGGAAUUACUGGGCGUAAAGGGUACGCAGGCGGAUAUAUAAGUCAAAUGUGAAAGGCACCGGCUCAACCGGUGAGCGGCAUUUGAAACUGUAUAUCUUGAGUUCANGAGAGGAGAGCGGAAUUCCUGGUGUAGCGGUGGAAUGCGUACAUAUCAGGAAGAACACCAGUGGCGAAGGCGGCUCUCUGGCCUGGAACUGACGCUCAGGUACGAAAGCUGGGGGGAAGCGAACGGGAUUAGAUACCCCCGGUAGUCCCAGCCG